GGAAGGAUCAUUAACACUAAUCCAAUCAACUCAACGAAGCCUUCAGUUGCAUUUGCAGCAUGUCUUCGGAUAUGCAGCAUCUGCAGCAACAAUAAAACUAACUACGCAAAGGAGCCUAACUAAGAAACUUUUAAAAACCAAAUUCUCAACGAUGGAUAUCUUGGUUCCCAUAACGAUGAAGAACGCAGCGAAGUGCGAUAAGCAAUGCGAAUUGCAGAACCGUGAGUCAUCAGAUUUUUGAACGCAACUGGCGCCGACUGGCUCUCCAGUCGGCAUGCUUGUUUCAGUGUCUUAUUUUCUCAUCACCCAAAUCCUAAUGCGAGAGAUACCCUUCUCUUGCUAAACAUGAAAGCACUCUGUGCUCUGCCAGCGGCUUCUAGGCCUAGCCUAGAGUCGCACUCAAUGCAGCCGUCACAUUGCUCACAAUGUGAACUCAUUGAGAGCAGAGACAGUCAGCGAAAGCUGUCAGUGCUUAGCCACUCAAACUUUAUCUGUAUCUGAAAUCAAGCAGGAUCACCCGCUGAACUUAAGCAUAUCACUAAGCGGAGGAAAAGAAAUUAACUAAGAUUGCCUCAGUAACGGCGAGUGAAGCGGCAAGAGCCCAAACUGGAAAUCUUCACACUUUGUGUGACGAAUUGUAAUCUAUAGAUGGUUCGCUCACCGGGUGGUGGCGCAGAAGUGGCCUCGAACGGCCCGCCAAAGAGGGUGACAGCCCCGUAUGUGGUGCCACUGCCUAACGAGCGGAUUGUCCAAGAGUCGGGUUGUUUUGUAUUGCAGCCCUAAGCGGGAGAUAAACUUCUUCUAAGGCUAAAUAUAUAUGGGAAACCGAUAGCGAACAAGUACUGUGAAGGAAAGAUGAAAAGAACUUUGAAAAGAGAGUUAAAAGACUUGAAAUCGUUGAGAAGGAAGCGGUAGAAAUUUAUUCUUCGGCUGCGGCCGGUGUCGGUUGCCUAACCAUUGCUGGUUGUCAGUACCGUAAGGGCUGCUGCUAGUACCUGGGGAAGCGGCCGGCUUGGUCGUAGUCGUGAGGCAAAAUGAGGUCGCGUUCCCGCAGAAGCUUCUUUAGCCUGGCCUGCUUCGGUGGGCAGCUUUGGUGUGCUGGCGGGGGUGCGGCCUGAGGGGCUUUGUGCGAUUUUGCCAAAAUGGUUUUUACCGACCCGUCUUGAAACACGGACCAAGGAGUCUAACAUAUAUGCGAGUGUGCUGGUGGAAAAACCAACACGCGUAAUGAAAGUGAUUGAUGCCAAGCGCAAGCGGCAGCAUCGACCGACCAUGAUCCUCUGGUGAAAGGUUUGAGUAAGAGCAUAUCUGUUAGGACCCGAAAGAUGGUGAACUAUGCCUGAGUAGGGUGAAGCCAGGGGAAACUCUGGUGGAGGCUCGUAGCGGUACUGACGUGCAAAUCGUUCGUCAAACUUGGGUAUAGGGGCGAAAGACUAAUCGAACCAUCUAGUAGCUGGUUCCCUC
rnacentral:misc_RNA from 1 species